AUUGAACGCUGGCGGCAGGCCUAACACAUGCAAGUCGAGCGGAGCGGCGGAAGGGUGAGUAAUGCCUAGGAAUCUGCCCGGUCGUGGGGGAUAACGUCCGGUACUGGGCGCUAAUACCGCAUACUAUUAGAUGAGCCUCGGUGGGAUUAGCCAGUUGGUGGGGUAAAGGCCUACCAAGGCGACGAUCCGUAACCGGUCUGAGAGGAUGAUCAGUCACACGGGAACUGAGACACGGUCCAGACUCCUACGCGAGGCAGCAGUGGGGAAUAUUGGACAAUGGGCGAAAGCCUGAUCCAGCCAUGCCGCGUGUAUGAAGAAGGUCUUCGGGUUGUAAAGCACUUUAAGUUGGGAGGCGUUACCAACAGAAUAAGCACCGGCUAACUUCGUGCCAGCAGCCGCGGUAAUUC
rnacentral:rRNA from 1 species